UUUGGGGUCUCCUCAUACCUUAGCUGGUGCCGUCUGGCCUAAGGCCAUUUCCCCACCCACUUUCCCGUGCGCGGAACGUCACAUAAGGAAGUGAAAGUGGACACGUUGCAUCACGCAAUUAAAACGAGGCAAACCAUAGAAAUAUAAUGCAACUUGUUUACUCGCUUACAUAAUUUGGUACAUGUGCACGUAGAAUACAUAACGUGUGCAAUCAGAUUUCGGAGAAUAUCAACUUUGGAAUAGAUGAUUCCAGUGUAUUUGCGAGGUUGGCAAACUUCGUCCAUGGCGCGGAUAAUGACCUCCUUUGGAAUCGAUGACUGGCACAUAUUCACCAACACGAACAGGUGGCGAUAUGCAUACUCAUUCUCAAGGAUAAAUAAGAUGGAAUAUGUAAAUUUUGUGGCUCACACGAGUCGCUGUGGUCGUUAAAAUCAAGCAUUCAAGUUACCUUGGGCAGGUGGAAACAACGCUGAGAGAAUGCAUGGACAAGCUCUUCGUAGCAGGAAAAGUUGGUUAGCUUCAGUCGACCGUUAAGGAUGAACUCUGUUUUAGCCUCAUCUUCAGUGGCCUUCAAAACGAUUUUCCUUAAGGUAUCUUUCAAGUGUUGGCGUUUCUGUGGAAACAAGGAAAUAUCGUCUUUA